rnacentral:rRNA from 1 species
UACGUAGGGAGCAAGCGUUGUCCGGAAUCAUUGGGCGUAAAGCGCGCGUAGGUGGCCAUUUAAGUCCGCUGUGAAAGUCAAAGGCUCAACCUUUGAAAGCCGGUGGAUACUGGAUGGCUAGAGUACGGAAGAGGCGAGUGGAAUUCCUGGUGUAGCGGUGGAAUGCGCAGAUAUCAGGAGGAACACCAAUAGCGAAGGCAGCUCGCUGGGACGUUACUGACACUGAGGCGCGAAAGCGUGGGGAGCGAACAGG